rnacentral:misc_RNA from 1 species
AACCAUAGAAACCUGCGGAGUACCUGCGGAGGGAUCAUUACAGGACUCGCAAGACUCCUUAAACCCCUGUGAACUUACUGUUUAUACGUUGCUUCGGCGGGUGCUCCGGGGUCCGCCCCGGGGCGCUGCGCCCGCCGGCAGCCUACUUAAUUCUGUUUCUCUGCGUUGGCAUCUCGAGUAAGCAAAAUAAGUUAAAACUUUCAACAAUGGAUCU